UGGGGAAUAUUGGACAAUGGGCGCAAGCCUGAUCCAGCAAUGCCGCGUGAGUGAUGAAGGCCUUAGGGUUGUAAAGCUCUUUCGCCCGCGACGAUGAUGACGGUAGCGGGAGAAGAAGCCCCGGCUAACUUCGUGCCAGCAGCCGCGGUAAUACGAAGGGGGCGAGCGUUGUUCGGAUUUACUGGGCGUAAAGGGCGCGUAGGCGGCGCCGCAAGUCGAGUGUGAAAGCCCCGGGCUCAACCUGGGAAUUGCGCUCGAGACUGUGGUGCUGGAGUUCGGGAGAGGAGCGUGGAAUUCCCAGUGUAGAGGUGAAAUUCGUAGAUAUUGGGAAGAACACCGGUGGCGAAGGCGGCGCUCUGGACCGAGACUGACGCUGAGGCGCGAAGGCGUGGGGAGCAAACAGGAUUAGAUACCCCCGUAGUCC
rnacentral:rRNA from 1 species